rnacentral:rRNA from 1 species
UUACGAGAGUGUCACCACUCCCAACCCAUUGUUUACCUACCCGUCCACCGUGCUUCGGCAGGCAGUCCUGUGGGACAGGGCCUCGCCCCCGCGAGGGGGUGCCUGCCGCUGGCCAACCAAAAAUUCUAGCUGUUUUUGUACCAUCUGAGUCUUCCACAAAUAAACAAAACUUUCAACAACGGAUCUCUUGGUUCUGGCAUCGAUGAAGAACGCAGCGAAAUGCGAUAAGUAAUGUGAAUUGCAGAAUUCAGUGAAUCAUCGAAUCUUUGAACGCACAUUGCGCCCACUAGUAUUCUGGUGGGCAUGCCUGUUCGAGCGUCAUUUCAACCCUCAAGCCUGGCUUGGUGUUGGGGCUCUGCGUCUGCAGUCCCUUAAAUCCAGUGGCGGACACGCUAGGUCUCCGAGCGCAGUAGUUUCUCCUCGCUCAGGGCGUCCGGCGUGGGCUUGCCUCGCACCCAUCUUUUACAAGGUUGACCUCGGAUCAGGUAGGAAUACCCGCUGAACUUAAGCAUAUCAAUAAGCGGAGGAAAAGAAACCAACAGGGAUUGCCCCAGUAACGGCGAGUGAAGCGGCAACAGCUCAAAUUUGAAAUCUGGCGCAAGCCCGAGUUGUAAUUUGCAGAGGAUGCUUUUGGCGCGGUGCCUUCUGAGUUCCCUGGAACGGGACGCCGGAGAGGGUGAGAGCCCCGUACAGUUGGACACCAAGCCUUUGUAAAGCUCCUUCGACGAGUCGAGUAGUUUGG